GAUAUUGAGAAAUGGACUGACCUCACUAGGAUCUGAUUGUCGAUCAGGAGGGACAGAUUGUUCCUACGAGCAUUAAGGUGAAGCAUACAAACGUUAUCGAAUGCCAAAAUAAAUUAUCUUCCCUUCUCUGCAGUAGGAUUCGGGGCCCUAGUAAACUGAAGCCAGCAAGUUCCUGUCAAGGAGAUCAGCUGCCACUCCCCUCAAAGCACACACUAGACAAAGUCUAAAGGACCGGAGCUCU